rnacentral:tRNA from 1 species
GGGGGCGUAGCUCAGAUGGUAGAGCACUCGCUUAGCAUGCGAGAAGUACGGAGAUCGAUACCCCACACCUCCA